GCUUCUGGGAGCUGCUGCUUCGCUGUGAGAAGUAUCCGUGACGAGCUAUCCGGUAAAGGUCCGAAUGAGAUCAAACCUAAUCCGCGAGACUUGCUAAAAAUUUAAAUCUUUUCAUGAAACAUUAUUGAACUAUGAUACAUUUACAGUGGAACAUAAUGACCUAGUGCUCUUCAGACUUCACUGGAAAAAUACUGAGGUGAACUUGAUGCUAAAUGAUGGAAAAGAGAAAUAUGAAAAAGAAAAAAUAAAAAUCAGCGUAAGUUCUGAGCAUGUCAAUGAAGAAAAAGCAGAAGAACACAUGGAUCUGAGGCUAAAGCAUUGCUUAGCCUAUGUUCUACAUACAUCAGGGACUACAGGGAUACCGAAGAUUGUCAGAGUGCCUCAUAAGUGUAUAGUACCAAAUAUCCAGCAUUUUCAGCAACACCAACAUUGCUUAGAAGAUUUGGAUCUCAGCUUAUCAAGUCAACUGUUUUGUCAGCCACUACUUCACUUCGAGUAUUAGCCCUUGGUGGUGAAGCGUUUCCAUCAUUGGCAGUUCUCA
rnacentral:sRNA from 1 species